rnacentral:rRNA from 1 species
AUUGAACGCUGGCGGCAGGCCUAACACAUGCAAGUCGAGCGAGAGGCGGAUGGGUGACUAAUGUAUCGGGCUCUGCCCGAUGGAGGGGGUUAACUACUGGACCCGGUGGCUAAUACCGCACACUCUCGGCUGAACCCAUAUGGGAUUAGCUGGUAGUUGGGGUAAAGGCUCCCCUAGGCGCCGAACUCUAGCUGGUCUGGGAGGAUGAUCAGGCACACUGGUACUGAGACACGGCCCAGACUCCUGCGGGAGGCAGCAUUGGGUAAUAUUGGACAAUUGGCGCAAGCCUGAUGCAGCCAUGCCGCGUGUGUGAAGGAGGCCUUAGGGUUGUAAAGUACUUUCAGCGGGGAGGCGUUACCCGCAGAAGAAGCACCGGCUAACUCCGUGCCAGCAGCCGCGGUAAUUC